CAUGGCCUUUUGAUGUUAAUUUAAGGUCUAAUCUGCUCAGUGAAAAUUAAAUAGCCGCAGUAUAUUAACUGUGCAAAGGUAGCAUAAUAAAUAGUUUUUUAAUUGGAAGCUGGAAUGAAUGAUUGGACAAGAAAAUGACUGUCUCUUUGUAAAUUAUUUUUGAAUUUAAUUUUUAAGUUAAAAAGCUUAGAUUUUUUUAAAAGACGAGAAGACCCUAUAGAGUUUUAUUUAUUAUUUUAUAUUUAGUAUUUAAUUUUUAGUAAUAAAUUUUGUUGGGGUGAUAGAAAGAUUAAAUGAACUCUUUUAAUUAAUAUCAUUGAUUUAUGAAUAUUGAAUCUAUAUUUUUAAAUAUAAAUUAAAUUACCUUAGGGAUAACAGCGUAAUUUUUCUUUAAAGUUCUUAUUGAAAGAGAAGUUUGCGACCUCGAUGUUGGAUUAAAAUUUAUUUUUGGUGCAGAAGCUAAAAAAUUAAGUCUGUUCGACUU
rnacentral:rRNA from 1 species